UACCUGCAGCUCAAGUGGUGGCCGUUAUUAUUGGGCCUAAAACGUCCGUAGCCGGUUUAUUAAAUGCCUGGGUAAAUCGGGCCGCUUAACGGUUCGAAUUCCGGGUAGACUGAUAGACUUGGGACCGGGAGAAGCUAGAGGUACUCCUGGGGUAGAGGUGAAAUUCUGUAAUCCUAGGGGGACCACCAGUGGCGAAGGCGUCUAGCUAGAACGGGUCUGACGGUGAGGGACGAAGCCCUGGGGCGCAAACCGGAUUAGAUACCCGGGUAGUCCAGGGUGUAAACGCUGCUUGCUUGAUGUUAGUCGGGCUCCGAGCCCGAUUAGUGUCGGAGAGAAGUUGUUAAGCAAGCUGCCUGGGAAGUACGGCCGCAAGACUGAACUUAAAGGAUUGGCGGGGGAGCACAGCAACGGGUGGAGCGUGCGGUUU
rnacentral:rRNA from 1 species